GUUAAUCUAUCUUGAAAGGUAAAAAGGGGUAGAGGAAACCUGUUUUUAUUUUCUUCGAAAUUAAUGUCCACCAUACCCAGGGUUAUCAAAGGAGGAUUGCCAAAGCUUUCCAUUAGAUCUUGCCGUCAGCAAGGCUUGUCAGCAAGCUUGCUGCACUUACUUUUCCAUAGUUGUUUUAACACUAUUCUGCUCCGCCAUAGCACCUCUUGUGUAUUUGAGCCGACUGAGACGUACCUUGUUGAAACUGAGUACCUGUCGAAGACAACCUGGGCGUGCAGGCGAGCAACGUGCUGCUCUAAGAAGGG
rnacentral:lncRNA from 1 species